rnacentral:rRNA from 1 species
UACGUAGGGGGCAAGCGUUGUCCGGAAUCAUUGGGCGUAAAGAGCGUGUAGGCGGCCAGAAAAGUCCGCUGUGAAAACUCGAGGCUCAACUUCGAGCUGUCGGUGGAAACUUUCUGGCUAGAGUCCGGAAGAGGAGGAUGGAAUUCCUGGUGGUAGCGGUGAAAUGCGCAGAUAUCAGGAAGAACACCCGUGGCGAAGGCGGCUCUCUGGGACGGUACUGACGCUGAGACGCGAAAGCGUGGGGAGCAAACAGG